rnacentral:rRNA from 1 species
UACGAAGGGGGCUAGCGUUGCUCGGAUUCACUGGGCGUAAAGGGUGCGUAGGCGGGUCUUUAAGUCAGGGGUGAAAUCCUGGAGCUCAACUCCAGAACUGCCUUUGAUACUGAGGAUCUUGAGUUCGGGAGAGGUGAGUGGAACUGCGAGUGUAGAGGUGAAAUUCGUAGAUAUUCGCAAGAACACCAGUGGCGAAGGCGGCUCACUGGCCCGAUACUGACGCUGAGGCACGAAAACGUGGGGAGCAAACAGG